rnacentral:rRNA from 1 species
CGUGUCUCUAGAGUUUGAUCAUGGCUCAGGACGAACGCUGGCGGCGUGGAUUAGGCACGCAAGUCGAGCGACGGUUUGGAUUCGUCCAAAUACGGAGCGGCGAACGGGUGAGUAACACGUGAACAACCUACCCCAUUGUUCCGGAUAAUUGGUCGAAAGACCUUGUAAUACGGGCGAGAAUCCUUUUGAGGCAUCUUUCGAGGAUUGAACAAGCAAUUGGCACUGGGCGGGGUUCGCGGCUUAUCAGGUAGUUGGUGAGGUAAUGGCUCACCAAGCCUACGACGAGUAGCUGGUCUGAGAGGAUGGUCAGCCACAUUGGAACUGAGACACUGUCCAGACUCCUACGGGAGGCUGCAGUCGAGAAUCUUGGGCAAUGCACGAAAGUGUGACCCAGCGACGCCGCGUGAAGGAUGAAGGCCCUCUGGGUUGUAAACUUCUUUUACGGGAGAAGAAGAUCUGACGGUAUCCCGUGAAUAAGCCACGGCUAACUACGUGCCAGCGCCGCGGUAA